GCAUGCAUAGCUCAGCUGGAUAGAGCACCUGACUUCGGAUCAGGGUGUCGUGGGUUCAAAUCCUACUGCAUGUG
rnacentral:tRNA from 1 species